UGGGGAAUCAUAGACAAUGGGCGCAAGCCUGAUCUUGCCAUGCCGCGUGAGCGAUGAAGGCCUUAGGGUUGUAAAGCUCUUUCACCGGUGACGAUAAUGACGGUAGCCGGAGAAGAAGCCCCGGCUAACUCCGUGCCAGCAGCCGCGGUAAUACGGAGGGGGCUAGCGUUGUUCGGAAUUACUGGGCGUAAAGCGCGCGUAGGCGGAUUGUUAAGUCGGGGGUGAAAUCCCAGGGCUCAACCCUGGAACGGCCCUCGAUACUGGCAGUCUGGAGGUCGAGAGAGGUGAGUGGAAUGGCGAGUGUAGAGGUGAAAUUCGUAGAUAUUCGCCGGAACACCAGUGGCGAAGGCGGCUCACUGGCUCGAUACUGACGCUGAGGUGCGAAAGCGUGGGGAGCAAACAGGAUUAGAUACCCCCGUAGUCC
rnacentral:rRNA from 1 species